rnacentral:rRNA from 1 species
AGAUCACACACUACCACCACACUUCCUCCUCUGUUCUCGCGCAUCGAGUUCAUCGCCCGAGAGACAGAGCACGCACGCACGCGCCGCCCCUCCACCUCAACCCACAGAUUUCAUCACGCCGCCGGCGAAGCCCUCCGUCGCCUGUCUGUUUGGUCGCCGGCGCCAUGAAGAAGGUGGUGCUGAAGCUGGACCUGCACGACGACAGGCAGAAGCAGAAGGCGCUCAAGGCCGUCUCCGCUCUCCACGGCAUCGACACCAUGGGCGUGGACAUGAAGGACCAGAAGAUGACGGUGGUCGGCAGCAUGGACCCCGUCGACGUCGUCAGCAAGCUGCGCAAGGUCUUCCACGGGGCGCACAUCGUCUCCGUCGGCCCGGCCAAGGAGGAGAAGAAGGACGACAAGAAGGACGGCGCCGGCGGGGACAAGAAGGACGGCGAUAAGGACAAGAAGGACGGCGACAAGGACAAGAAGGACGGGAGCAAGCAGGUGGUGUACCCGCAUCACUACUGGUACCCGCCGCCGCCGCCGCAGCACCACCACCCGCACCCGUACUACUUCGUCCGCAGCGCCGAGGAGGACCCCAACUCCUGCGUCAUCUGCUGAUCGCCUCAUCCCCAUGGCACCGCCCUGUACCUGUACAUUUCUAGCUGGCCUGCCGGCGUGUGGCUCACCGGCGAUCACCGGUCGCGACCUGCUCCGGUGGUGGUUGGUGGUUGCUCCACUCGUCAGCCUACCUGCGACAACGAUCGCUAUAUGAUCCGUAGAUGAUGUUGUUUUGUCUUGUUUUUUCUCUUUGGGGGGAUAAAGUAGACGCAUCUGCUUAGUUUGUGAUGCGCAGAUGUGGAAUCAAAUAACAGUGAGGAAAAAGACUACAAAUAUAUAUGGAAUUUAGGCGGU